rnacentral:rRNA from 1 species
UAAAUACUGAUGCCGGGGGAUUUCCCUUGGCAAUCGGAAUGAGAUAAAGCUAAAGAUCUAAACGAGUAACCAGUGGAGGGCAAGUCUGGUGCCAGCAGCCGCGGUAAUUCCAGCUCCACUAGCGUAUGCUAAAGUUGCUGCAGUUAAAAAGCUCGUAGUUGAACCUUGGGCUGUGGGGGUGUGGUGCAGCGAAUGCUGCUACUGCGCUCUCCGGCCUCUUUGGGGGCGGUGCGCUUAACGGCGUACCAUUCCCCGUGUUACUGUGAAGAAAUUAGAGUGUUUAAAGCAGGCAGUCGCUUGAAUACAUCAGCAUGGAAUAACAGGAUAGGACUCUGUCGAUCUUGUUGGUUUGGGGAUAGGAGUAAUGAUUGAUAGGAACAGUUGGGGGCAUUAGUAUUUAGCAGUCAGAGGUGAAAUUCUUGGAUUUGCUAAAGACUAACUAGUGCGAAAGCAUUUGCCAAGGAUGUUUUCAUUAAUCAAGAACGAAAGUUAGGGGAUCGAAGACGAUCAGAUACCGUCGUAGUCUUAACUAUAAACGUUGCCGACUCUGGAUCCGGGGCAACCGCAUGGUUCGCCUGGGGACAGUGUGAGAAAUCAAAGUUUUUGGGUUCUGGGGGAGUAUGGUCGCAAGGCUGAAACUUAAAGGAAUUGACGGAAGGGCACCACCAGGAGUGGAGCCUGCGGCUUAAUUUGACUCAACACGGGAAAACUCACCAGGUCCGGACAUGGUAAGGAUUGACAGAUUGAGAGCUCUUUCAUGAUUCUGUGGGUGGUGGUGCAUGGCCGUUCUUAGUUGGUGGAGUGAUUUGUCUGGUUAAUUCCGAUAACGAACGAGACCUCUGUGGGUGAAUGGGGGCGGUAUGUGAAUAUCGUGCUCCCUCUCACUCAGACUGGCUGUGUUUAGCAGCCGGAAGUGGGAGGCAAUAACAGGUCUGUGAUGCCCUUAGAUGUUCUGGGCUGCACGCGCGCUACACUGACAGAGGCAGCGAGUAUUGCCUUGGCCGAGAGGUCUGGGAAAUCUUGGGAAACUCUGUCGUGCUGGGGAUAGAUCAUUGCAAUUAUUGGUCUUGAACGAGGAAUUCCUAGUAAGCGCAUGUCAUUAGCAUGCGUUGAUUACGUCCCUGCCCUUUGUACACACCGCCCGUCGCUACUACCGAUUGAAUGGCUUAGUGAGGC